rnacentral:tRNA from 1 species
GCGAAUGUGGUGGAAUGGUAGACACGUAACACUUAGGAUGUUAUGCUGAAUGGCGUGCAGGUUCGAGUCCUGUCAUUCGCA